GGAGACUGGAAGAUGUUAGCAGACCCUAGCCCUCUAUAUCUAAGAACACUUUAUUUCACUUCUAACUACCUUAAUGGCUAUCCUUGGACUUGCUUCUGACGGAUCGGAAAAGAUGGUUUAUUAUGAGUAACUACAUAUGAGGUUUCAAAAUAUCUUCUCCCUGCAUUAGCCCACCUUGAAUUAGAGAUCUCCUGUCCCCUAACAGGAACAGAAUUUAUCUCUGGAGGCUUGCCACAGAAUGUUCACAUCCUUCUGUAUGGUCUUCUGGGAAGAAAUUAAGCCUCUACACUUAAACACUAACAUUCUUUCUCCUCAAAGACUAUCGCUUUCCAGGAGAACUGGAAAGCUGAAGGGAGAUGAGAGCUGGAGGACAAAGAAUAAGAAUAGAGAGACACCAAUCCCAGAGGGACAGGUGAAAUGUUGCUGAGCAAAGGGGUGGAAGAAGAGAGAAGCUCAGCACUGCAUUUAGAAGAAUAUUUGUUCCAUUUUACUGGAAGGAAAACAACGCCAAUCUUUUUAUUUUUAUUUCUUAAUUAAUUUUUUAAAUUAUGUUCAGUUAGCCAGCAUAUAGUACAUCAUAAAGACAUCGCCAAUCUUUCCAAACUGUAAACUAGAUGUUAACUCUCCGGUGUAAUCUCCUUCAAUGGCUCUUCCUUACCUUUGCAAUAAAGUUAAAGUUUUAGUAUGACAGUCAAGCCAUUUCAAGAUCUGUCUACAUUUUUAGAUUCAUUUCCAUCUAUAUCCCCUUUAUAUAACCUUUUUUUUUUAGCAAUUCUGAUCUCUUUGCAGUUAUUCAAAAAAGUUAAGCUAUUCUCUCCUUCUGUUGCUUUUGUAUACUGUUUCCUCUGUCUAAAAUGCUUCCUUGAGAUCCUUUUGUCAUUUGCUAAUGUCCUUAAAGACAGGUCACAUAUACUUUCCCCUUGACAGAUUUUCUUCCUGACAUAUCACUAUGCAUCACGGUAACCCUCCUAUGCUUCCACAACACCCUGUGCAUAUCUCUAGUAGUUCUUUUUAUACUGUAAUACAAUUGUUAAUUUCCUCCCUUUCUUCCCUACUACUCUGUGUUUUUGAAUGACAGGAACUGUGUCUUAGUUUUCUUUGAAUCCCCAAUAGCUGGCAGAGUAUACCUCAGGAGACACUUAGUAAAUUCAAGAAAAAAAAAUUAACAAUUUGUCUUUCCAAGAAGUAUGUUAUAGUAGAAAAAGUAUUAUAUUGAGCUCUGCCCAUAACUAGCUAUAACUCACAAAUUAUGAACUUCAAUUAAAUAAGGGGAUCAUCUAGAUCUCUAAAGUUCCCUGUGAUUUCUGUCAACCUAGUUUCUGUUUUAUAAAUUCUUGACAGAUAAUAAAACUCCUUUAAAAAGAAUAGUCUUUAUUUCAAAUAUUUACUAAUUUACACUGGAUUUAUCUCAGUUUUCAGGUUUUACUACUGAGGUUUUCUUUAUUGGUCACAGUGGCUGUGAAGAGAAAAGUUUUCCUAACUUGAUAGCCUUAGAGCCAAGGAUCCUAUUUUACUCUGAGCCUCACUGGCAUAUGAUUUUCCUCCCUUAAGACUUUGUUAUCUGUUGCCUCUGCUUCUAUUUCUACUCUUAACUUUUACCUAGUUCUAGAACUAGUUCAGGAAGAUGUCUGCCACAUAACAGAAACUAGUGAUAGCAAAGGGGAAGAAAAGGAGAAGAUGAGCUCCAGGAGUCAUUAGUCUUUUCUUAUCCUGUCUUCUCUUGCUUGGAGUGGGGGCACACCGGUCUUUACAAAAACUUCACCCCAGUCUCUUGUUCACUACUACUCCUUCCA